AAGCCACUCUUGACUUCCUCCCAGCCAGCCUCAAGCUUCAGUAAGUCAGCCGUGGAAGUUGCUAAGCUACUCCUGGGAGUAAUGUCUUCUUUCAAAUGAAUGUAAUAAUUCAUGAUCCACAGUUCCUUAAAGAAUAAAAUGCUGUACUGCAUAUAGGAUGCUAAAUACCGAACCAAACAGUUUCUUUGAUAUAAAUUCACAUUCUUGCAUCAAAAUGGAAUAUAAACUGCACCAGAAGCAGGAAGGCCCAAGUUCUACUCUACACAAAGCUACAGAAACUCUCUGUGUGAUUUGAAGCCAAUCGCUUUCUCUCAGUUCAAGGAUGGUUGUUAUGGGGUUAUACAGUAUGUGGGUGCAGCUUUCCCAUCUGUACUUCACCAUUGAAAAGGCCAUUGAUCCUUGAUGUCAUUUUUAACUCAUUCAUUAUAAAACGACAGAUUUCAGUUGAAAGAAGUGGUGUAUUAUUGAUAAGCUGCCACCAAUGAAGACAGCUUUGUCAAAAUCUGCAAAGGAGCGUCACCAGCAUAAUGCAAGUAUUGAUGUUUCUUUCUCUAAUUUUAAAACCAUAUUCAUCUUCUUUCAAUCCAUCUACCCUCACUAUAUAUAUUCAGAAUAUAACUUGCAUAAAUAAAAGAAACUAUACAGCCUUGUCACUCUUUCAUCUUUGGUCUUCUUUGAAUCCAUUAUCCGUCCAUUGACAUCUUUUUAGCAGGCCAAUUUGAGGUUAAAACUUCUUCUGAGUUCAGAGAUUUUUUUGGAAAAAUUUCUCCCCCGCCCCCUUUGUGUUUGGAUCAG